rfam:Populus trichocarpa scaffold_1_contig_336, whole genome shotgun sequence.
UUUUUUAGGGUUAAACAUCAUCAUUUCGACGAGUCUUCUGAUUUUAGGGAUUGAUGUCAUUUUUGACGCGUCUUCUAUUUUUAAAGACU